AAUAUUCCAGAACUUGGAUAUGGAGUUCACGGCAACGUAACUGAAUGUGGAGACGUCGGCGUGGGCCCUGGGAGAAGUUUUNNNUUUCUUCUAACAGCUUAUGACCCUGGAUGGUUUAUCCAGAGAUGGGGUUUUGUAACUGGAAGAGCACCUUUGGCUACUCCGGUGCGCCUACGACGGUCCUUGAAAAUCCACAGGAAGGAUUUACUCUCAUACCAAGUCGUACU
rnacentral:rRNA from 1 species